rnacentral:rRNA from 1 species
GACGUAGGGGGCGAGCGUUGUCCGGAGUUACUGGGCGUAAAGGGCACGCAGGCGGUCUGCGGCGUAUGGGCUGACAGGGGGUGGCUUAACUGCCCCAGGGGCCAAUAGACGGGCAGACUUGAGGGCCAGAGAGGGACCGGGAAGUCCGGGUGGAGCGGUGAAAUGCGUAGAGAUCCGGAGGAACACCAAAGGCGAAGGCAAGGUCCUGGCUGGCGCCUGACGCUCGGGUGCGAAAGCUAGGGGAGCGAACGGG